UACUUAGUGGCAGACGGGUGAGUAACAUGUAGGUAUCUACCCUGUGGCCUGGAAUAACACGAGGAAACUUGUGCUAAUACCGGAUAAGUCUUUACGGAGAAAGCUUUAUGCACCAUUGGAUGAGCCUGCACUUGAUUAGUUUGUUGGUAGGGUAAUGGCCUACCAAGACUUUGAUCAAUAGCUGAUUUGAGAGGAUGAUCAGCCACAUUGGGACUGAGACACGGCCCAAACUCCUACGGGAGGCAGCAGUGGGGAAUCUUGCACAAUGGAGGAAACUCUGAUGCAGCGAUGCCGCGUGAGUGAAGAAGGCCCUUGGGUUGUAAAGCUCUUUCGUCGGGGAAGAAAAUGACUGUACCCGAAUAAGAAGGUCCGGCUAACUUCGUGCCAGCAGCCGCGGUAAUACGAAGGGACCUAGCGUAGUUCGGAAUUACUGGGCUUAAAGAGUUCGUAGGUGGUUGAAAAAGUUGGUGGUGAAAUCCCAGAGCUUAACUCUGG
rnacentral:rRNA from 1 species